AUGGAAACUUCACGGAUCCGCCCGCACCAGCCCUCCCGCGCCGUGCGCCGCCGCUGGGCCCCGGGUCCGAGUCAGGGCGGGCGGGGCGCGGACAGCGGGGGCCGUGCCAGGCUCGCAGCGCCGCGGGACAAAGCCGGGCCGGCCGCCAGCUGCCGCGAGCGGGAGGGCGCGCCCGGGGCGCGGCGGACGCUGCCGGGGCGCAGAGCGUUCGGUCCGAGGGGCGCGCACGGCCCGGACCCCCGCCCGCAGCUGUGCCCCGACAUAGGGUCCGACCCCAACGGAGUCUCCGGGGAGGGGGGCGUGGGGUCACUCACUGAUCUCCAUGCUCUGGAACAAAGAGCGUUUGCAGUUGCACGUGCAGGAGACAUUGGGCUGCCCGGCGGCGGCGGCGGCGGUGCUGUUGACCCCAUCAAGCGGUGCAUGGACGGCGCGGCGGCGCGGCGCGGGGCGCGGGGGCGCGGGGGCGGCCAGGGGGGCUCCGGCCGGCGCCCGGAGCUGGGGCCCCGCAUGCAGGAGGCGCGCGGCGGGGAGGUGCGCCCCGGCUCGCCGGGCUCGGGUCGCCGCCAAGUUCCCGGGGCGCCGCGGGGCUCAAUGCGCGGGACCGCGCUCCUCUGCGCCCCCCCUGCCGCCCCUCGGCAGCCCCGGGGGCGUCGGCAGUGCCCGCGGGUGGCGUCCGGAAAAUGGGCUGGCAGCGGGGCGCGCGCUGCCGCCGGGGCUGAGCCUCUGCCGCUAGCUUUCCCCAGCCGAGCGCCUCCGCCGCCGCCGCCGCCGCCGCCUCCUCCUCAUUCAAGUCCAAGGAGAUCGGGUUUCGCUCCGAGACCGCGGUCGGAGGCAGGCAGACGGUCUGACGUCAGCGCUAGACGGGGCUGCCGGUUCCCACCGCGCGGGGGCCGGGGAGGGGGCGCGCGCUGCGCCAAUCGCCGCCGAGGUUCCCCCGCACCCCCUCCCCGAGCCGGGGGGCGGGGUGACGGGAAACGGGGCGGGCUCUUAAAGGGCCAGAGCUAG
rnacentral:lncRNA from 1 species